rnacentral:rRNA from 1 species
GAUGAACGCUAGCGGCAGGCUUAAUACAUGCAAGUCGAGGGGCAACACGGUUAGCAAUAACUGGUGGCGACCGGCGCACGGGUGCGUAACACGUAUACAAUCUACCUUAAACAGGGGGAUAGCCUUUCGAAAGAGAGAUUAAUACCCCGUAAUAAAUUGAACGGCAUCGUUUGAUUUUGAAAGCUCCGGCGGUUUGAGAUGAGUAUGCGUCUGAUUAGCUAGUUGGUGAGGUAACGGCUCACCAAGGCGACGAUCAGUAGGGGAUCUGAGAGGACUAACCCCCACACUGGUACUGAGACACGGACCAGACUCCUACGGGAGGCAGCAGUAAGGAAUAUUGGUCAAUGGAGGCAACUCUGAACCAGCCAUGCCGCGUGCAGGAUGACGGCCCUAUGGGUUGUAAACUGCUUUUAUACAAGAGAAAACCCUGGUACGUGUACCAGGUUGAUAGUAUUGUAAGAAUAAGCAUCGGCUAACUUCGUGCCAGCAGCCGCGGUAAU